rnacentral:snRNA from 1 species
GGAAAUGAAGGAUCUGGCUGCGACAUCUUUCAGCCCAUUGAUAGCCAGAGACGAUUUGGCUGAUCUGGCUGGCUCGGCGGGUAUCUCCUUCUCUCAGCACUGCAUGUGCGUCCCUCCUAAAGCUGCUCACUUGGUCAGAGGAUGACUCCCCAUAGAGAAAUGUCAUUAGAUUAUAUCCAA